AGAAUAAACCGCGGGCCUAAAAACGCGUCGCGCGCCCGCGCGAUCUUUGGAUUUCCGCGCGCUUCGCUGUUAUACCGGAGUCCCGGAAUAUCGCACGACAUCCGUCUGGUGGUUGUUUGUGACACACCUCCCCUGUUAAUAUCCUUUUUUACGGGGCCGCGGCCGUCGUCGGGAUUAUACGCGCGGAAACGGCCAACGGUCUUUAUUUAUUAUAAUAUUAUUAUACCUAUUGUACUAUUUGUUUUUUUUUAACCGUUUGUAUAGUUUAAAUUUAUAAUAUAUUAUGUACAUAUGACAUGAGGUAGGCAUACGGGAUAAUAUUUUAGUCUAGUGACGAGCGAAAAUUCAAUCCGGUUUAAAUAAAUUAAAAAAACAAACAAACAAACAGGCCGAGAUACGUAUUGAAACCAUAAUCCGGACAUCGGACCCAAUAAUAAUUACGAUCGAUUAGUCCGACAUUCUGGAUACGGAUCCGAAGCGGGGGAAAAAAGCGAAUAAAAUAUUUAUUUUGGACAAUUUUAAUGAAACAUUUAUUGACAGCCGAACGGAAUUGUUUCAAUGCAUUUAAAUUCGUAAUAAUCCAAAACGACGAUAUCGAUUCGUCAUUGCGAUCCGGAUUAUAUACGGAUUUUGGUCAAUCCAAAUCAAUGUAGAUUGGAAAUCCGACAUUCGGAUUGAUCCAGAUAACCGUGGUUGUGAUUACGUGCCCGGCACUAGACUACCUGCCUACAGUCGAUUUGUUUUUUUUUUCAGUAAAUUGUAUUUAUUAUUUAUUAUCGUUUUAAUUUUGUACAUCUUGGCAGCUAUUGUUAUAGUAUUAUUAUUAUUAUUAUUGUUAUUGUUGUUGUUGUUGUUGUUACUGCUUAUAAUUAUUAUCCAUUUGCUUGAUCACGGUGGAUCACCAAAAAUCUGUGUUUGGCAUUUUAUUUCACGUAGGUACCUGUAUAAUAUUAAACUGUAUAAUUGUUUCAUUUUUUAUUAGUUUAAAUUACCCAAUUGUGUAUUUCGUUAACGACAAG